rnacentral:rRNA from 1 species
GACGAACGCUGGCGGCGUGCCUAAUACAUGCAAGUAGAACGCUGAAGAGAGGAGCUUACUCUUCUUGGAUGAGUUGCGAACGGGUGAGUAACGCGUAGGUAACCUGCCUUGUAGCGGGGGAUAACUAUUGGAAACGAUAGCUAAUACCGCAUAACAAUGGAUGACACAUGUCAUUUAUUUGAAAGGGGCAAUUGCUCCACUACAAGAUGGACCUGCGUUGUAUUAGCUAGUAGGUGAGGUAAUGGCUCACCUAGGCGACGAUACAUAGCCGACCUGAGAGGGUGAGCGGGCACACUGGGACGGGAACACGGCCCAGAAUCCUACGGGAGGCAGCCGGAGGGAAUCUUCGGCAAUGGGGGCAACGCUGAACGAGCAACGCCGCGGGAGUGAAGGAGGUUUUCGGAUCGGAAAGCUCUGUUGUAAGUCAAGAACGGGUGUGAGAGUGAAAAGUUCACACUGUGACGGUAGCUUAACAGAAAGGGACGGCUAACUACGUG